GAGUUUGAUUCUGGCUCAGGAUGAACGCUGGCGGCGUGCCUAACACAUGCAAGUCGAACGAAGAAUUUUUUGGAAGUUUUCGGAUGGAAGAAAAAUUACUUAGUGGCGGACGGGUGAGUAACGCGUAAGUAAUCAACCUACAACACACGAAUAACUAAGAGAAAUCUUAGCUAAUACGAGAUGAAGUAAGUAUAUCGGGAGAUAUAAAUAUGAAAGCUGAGGCGGUUGUAGACGAGCUUGCGUCUGAUUAGCUAGUUGGCAGGGUAAGAGCCUACCAAGGCGACGAUCAGUAGCCGGCCUGAGAGGGUGAACGGCCACAUUGGAACUGAGAGACGGUCCAAACUCCUACGGGAGGCAGCAGUGGGGGAUAUUGCACAAUGGGCGAAAGCCUGAUGCAGCAACGCCGCAUGAGCGAAGAAGGCUUUCGAGUCGUAAAGCUCUGUCGUAUGGGAAGAAAAAAAUGACAGUACCAUACAAGAA
rnacentral:rRNA from 1 species